CCUCAGAUCAGACGAGACUACCCGCUGAAUUUAAGCAUAUCAGUAAGCGGAGGAAAAGAAACUAACAAGGAUUCCCUCAGUAACGGCGAGUGAAGCGGGAAGAGCCCAGCACCGAAUCCCCUGGUUUUGCGCAAGCGGGAAUUGUGGUGUUUGGGACGCCUAUCGGCGCUGUGUCCCUGUGCCCAAGUCCUUCUGAUCGGGGCCUUUCCCAUAGUGGGUGUCAGGCCUUUAGCGGCACGGGACUAGGCGUCCUUGAGCGUCCUUGGAGUCGGGUUGUUUGGGAAUGCAGCCCUAAGCGGGUGGU
rnacentral:rRNA from 1 species